rnacentral:rRNA from 1 species
GUUUGAUCCUGGCUCAGGACGAACGCUGGCGGCGUGCCUAAUACAUGCAAGUCGAGCGAGUCUGCCUUGAAGAUCGGAGUGCUUGCACUCUGUGAAACAAGAUACAGGCUAGCGGCGGACGGGUGAGUAACACGUGGGUAACCUGCCCAAGAGAUCGGGAUAACACCUGGAAACAGAUGCUAAUACCGGAUAACAACAGAUGAUGCCUAUCAACUGUUUAAAAGAUGGUUCUGCUAUCACUCUUGGAUGGACCUGCGGUGCAUUAGCUAGUUGGUAGGGUAACGGCCUACCAAGGCGAUGAUGCAUAGCCGAGUUGAGAGACUGAUCGGCCACAUUGGGACUGAGACACGGCCCAAACUCCUACGGGAGGCAGCAGUAGGGAAUCUUCCACAAUGGACGCAAGUCUGAUGGAGCAACGCCGCGUGAGUGAAGAAGGGUUUCGGCUCGUAAAGCUCUGUUGUUGGUGAAGAAGGACAGGGGUAGUAACUGACCUUUGUUUGACGGUAAUCAAUUAGAAAGUCACGGCUAACUACGUGCCAGCAGCCGCGGUAAUACGUAGGUGGCAAGCGUUGUCCGGAUUUAUUGGGCGUAAAGCGAGCGCAGGCGGAUUGAUAAGUCUGAUGUGAAAGCCUUCGGCUCAACCGAAGAACUGCAUCAGAAACUGUCAAUCUUGAGUGCAGAAGAGGAGAGUGGAACUCCAUGUGUAGCGGUGGAAUGCGUAGAUAUAUGGAAGAACACCAGUGGCGAAGGCGGCUUUAUGCGUUGU